rnacentral:rRNA from 1 species
AACGAACGCUGGCGGCAGGCUUAACACAUGCAAGUCGAACGCGUGUAGCAAUACACGAGUGGCGCACGGGUGAGUAACGCGUGGAUAUCUGCCUUUUGGUUCGGAAUAACUCCGGGAAGCUGGAGCUAAUACCGGAUGGUUCCUUCGGGAUAAAGAUUUAUCGCCAAAAGAUGAGUCCGCGUACGAUUAGCUAGUUGGUGAGGUAAUGGCUCACCAAGGCGACGAUCGUUAGCUGGUCUGAGAGGACGAUCAGCCACACUGGGACUGAGACACGGCCCAGACUCCUACGGGAGGCAGCAGUGGGGAAUAUUGGACAAUGGGGGCAACCCUGAUCCAGCCAUGCCGCGUGAGUGAUGAAGGCCUUCGGGUUGUAAAGCUCUUUUGGCGGGGACGAUGAUGACGGUACCCGCAGAAUAAGCCCCGGCUAACUUCGUGCCAGCAGCCGCGGUAAGAC